GUCAUCAAAUGAUGAAGUAUUAGUAAAUCUUAGGACACAUUGGACACAACUUUUUGAGGUUGUGGAUGAGAAUGUUUCCAUUCGAUGAUGAUGAU